GGGCGAAUGGUCUAGGGGUAUGAUAUUCGCUUUGCACUGAUGGCCUGGUUGAUAACGCCAGGCUGUAUAAAUCGAUGCUUGCGAAGGGUCCGGGGUUCAAAUCCCCGUUCGUCCA